GGCUUCAACCGGGGAGGGUCAUUGGAAACUGGGGAACUUGAGUGCAGAAGAGGAGAGUGGAAUUCCACGUGUAGCGGUGAAAUGCGUAGAGAUGUGGAGGAACACCAGUGGCGAAGGCGACUCUCUGGUCUGUAACUGACGCUGAGGAGCGAAAGCGUGGGGAGCGAACAGGAUUAGAUACCCUGGUAGUCCACGCCGUAAACGAUGAGUGCUAAGUGUUAGGGGGUUUCCGCCCCUUAGUGCUGCAGCUAACGCAUUAAGCACUCCGCCUGGGGAGUACGGUCGCAAGACUGAAACUCAAAGGAAUUGACGGGGGCCCGCACAAGCGGUGGAGCAUGUGGUUUAAUUCGAAGCAACGCGAAGAACCUUACCAGGUCUUGACAUCCUCUGACAAUCCUAGAGAUAGGACGUCCCCUUCGGGGGCAGAGUGACAGGUGGUGCAUGGUUGUCGUCAGCUCGUGUCGUGAGAUGUUGGGUUAAGUCCCGCAACGAGCGCAACCCUUGAUCUUAGUUGCCAGCAUUCAGUUGGGCACUCUAAGGUGACUGCCGGUGACAAACCGGAGGAAGGUGGGGGAUGACGUCAAAUCAUCAUGCCCCUUAUGACCUGGGCUACACACGUGCUACAAUGGACAGAACAAAGGGCAGCGAAA
rnacentral:rRNA from 1 species